CGACGAUUCCAACCUCUCCGGUGAGCACGAACGGUGAUUGUCAACUUCUGUCCGGUCUCUGUCCGAUCUCCGCAAGCGGUAAUCAGGUAUGUCAACUUCCGUACUUCCGACUUCGAAGGACUUUGAUUAGAAACUGCAAAAUUAGAAACCAAUAUUCAAGUCUGGAGGAUCUCUAAUUUUCCAUUACAUUUGAUUAAUCGGUCUUUGCCAUUCUCUAUCAAAAAACAAUUGUAUGAAGGCAGUUAACAAAAUCACAGUUCCUCUGCACACAUUUCAACUAGAUUAGCCACUCAACUCUCAAACUGCUUCUCCUCUGCACACUUUAAGAUGUGCAUAUUUGCCAAUUGUAGCUUGUAAAAUAGCUUAUGUAAAAAUGUAAAAUAGGAUGGAUUUAUUUGUCGCUACUGAAUACUGAUGUGCCAAUGUACAAUUCAACUUAGAGCUUUAUGGCCUUAUGUGAUCAUUGAAAAUCCAUUGUGUGAUCCUAAUGAGACAAAUUUGUCAUCACUGGUGUUUUUAGCUUGCAUAUAUACAAGUUCUUCCUUUUUAAACCUUCUUAGAGCUCUAAAACUGAAAAUGAGCCCGUCAUGUUUUACUUACCUGAAAUGAUGUGAUAUCCAUUAGAUUUAUCUUGGCAUUCUUUGAGAAAGAAAUAUUGGUCUUGGUAAUUCAAUGGUUGACUUGAAGUUUGCAUUUUCUAAGAUCCUUAAAAACCUCUUUUGCUGAGGACUUAUAUUUAGAGGCAUUUGAGAACAUCACCAGAUUAUUUACAUAUAUGAGGUCUGAAAGUAACUUUGCUUCAUGAACAUAACUUGAUGAAUUUAGUUCACUGUUAUGUAUUUUUUGAUGUUUUAUACUUUUAUUUUUCUGAAUAAAAUUAUCUAUAAAUUAAGCUUUGUUUCACUGGCCAUCAACAGCUUAUGAAAAGCCCGUCCACACCCCAAAGGUUCUGGCUCAGUCUUCUACCCAAUCUCUGAUUUUAGGUGAUUUUAUCCUACUGCAUUUUAUCCUACUGCAUUAUCCUACUGCAUUUUAGGUGAUUUUUAGGUACUAAAAACACCGUUGUUGUCUGGAUUUAAGCGAGUGAGUAAAGUGCAUAUUUCUUAUGGACUUACUGUCCUGUAUUGCUUAGUUCUUUCAAUUUCUUUUGGAUUAUCUUAAAAAUUCCAACUGCUUAGUUAGCAUUGCAUAAGUGGAC
rnacentral:lncRNA from 1 species